rnacentral:lncRNA from 1 species
UUUUUUUUUUUUGAGCAUCUUUUAAUGUACCUGGUGGCCAUCUGUUAUGUCUUCUUCACAAUUAAUAACCACAAAUAAAAUCACAAACAAGAAGGGAGUAAUAACAACCAACAUCAAAGAAAUAUAAACAACUGUAAGAGAAUAUUAUAAAAAAAUAUUUGCCAACAAAUUAGACCACCUAGAAGAAAUGCAUAAACUCCUGGAAACAUACAAACUUCCAAAACUGAAACAGGAAGAAACUGAAAACUUAAAAAAGUGACAAUCAGGAAAGAAACUGAAUUGGAAAUCAAAAAACUCCCAACAAACCAAAGUCCAGGGUCAGAAGGCUUCACAGGCAAAUUAAUCAAAAUUUUAAAGAACAGUAAAAUACCUAUUCUUCUCAAACUAUUCCAAAAAAUAGAAAAGGAAGGAAACGUUCCCAAUUCACUUUAUGAGGCCAGCAUUACUCUGAUACUAAAACUGGAUAAAUUAUCCGCUAAAAGAAAGAGGUCUAUGGGCCAAUAUCUCUGAUGAACAUGGAUGCAAAAUUUCUCAAUAAAAUAUUAGCAAACCAAAUUCAACAAUACAUUAAAAAAAUAAUUCACCCCAAUCAAGUGUGAUUUAUUCCUGGUUUGCAAGGGUGGUUCACUAUUUAUAAAUUAAUCAAUUUGAUGCAUUAAUAAAAGAGCCAUAUGGUCAUUUCAAUAGAUGCAGAAAGUAUUUGACAAAGUACAUCAUUCAUUCAUGAUAAAAACUCACGACAAAAUAUGUUUAGAGGAACAUACUGGAACUUAAAACCUGUAUAUAAAAAAUCCACAGCUAAUAUCAUCCUCAAAGGGGAAAACCUGAGAUCUUUUCCUCCAUGAUCAGGAAUAAGACAGAGAUGUCCACUCUCAACACUGUUUUCAACAUAGUACUUGAAGCCCUAGCCACAGCAAUCAGACAACAAAAAUAAAUAAAAGGCAUCCAAACUGUCAAGGAAGAAGUGAAACUUUCACUAUCUGCAGAUAACAAGAUACUUCAUAUAGAAAACUCAUAAGACUCCACCAGCUAGAACUGAUACACAUAUUCAAUAAAGUCACAGGAUACAAAAUCAAUGUACAGACAUCUGUUGUAUUUCUAUACACUGAUAAUGAAGCAGCAUAAAGAGAAAUUAAGGAAUCAAUCUCAUUUACAACUUCAUCACAAACAAUAAGAUACCUAGGAAUAAUUCUAACCAAGAAGGUGAAAGAUCCAUACUGUAAAAACUAUAAAAGGCUGAUGAAAGAGACUGAAAGUGACACAAAUAAAUGAAAAGAUAUUCCAUGCUUAUGGAUUGGAAGAAGAAAUAUUGUCAAAAUAUUGUUAAAAUAUCUAUACCACCCAAAGCAAUCUAUACAUUUAAUGCAAUCCCAAUCAAAUCUCUAUCAAAAUCCCAACAUUAUUUUUCACAUAAGUAGAAUAAAUAAUCCUAAAAUUCAUAUGGAACCACAAAAGACCCCAAAUAGCUAAAGAAACCUUGAAAAAGAAAAGCAAAGAUGGAGGCAUCACAAUUCUGGACUCAAGUUAUAUUACAAAGCUGUAGCAAUCAAAACAGUAUGGUACUGGCAAAAAAAAUAAACACAUAAAUCAAUGUAACAGAAUAGCAAACCCAGAAAUCAAUCAACAAAUCUAAAAGGCAUCCUAUGGAAUGAGAGAAGAUAUUUGUAAAUAACAUAUUUUAUAAAGGAUUAGUAUCUAAAAUCUAUAAAUAACUGAUACAACUCAACACCCAAAAAACAAAAAAAUGGGCAGAAGACAUCAACAAACAUUUUUCUAAAGAAGACACACAGACAGCCAAAAGACACCUGAAAAGAUGCUCAACAUCACUGAUCAUCAAGAAAAUACCAAUCAAAGCUACAAUGAGAUGUCACCUUACACUUGUCAGAAUGACUAAGUCAACAAUACAAGAGACAACAGGUGCUGGCAAAGAUGUGGAGAAAGGAGAGCCCUCUUGCACUAUUGUUGGGAAUUCAAACUGGAAUAAGCACUGUGGAAAACAGUACGGAAGUGUCUCAAAAAGUUAAAAAUAGAACUAUCCUAGGAUCCAGCAAUUGCACUGCUAAAUAUUUAUCCAAAGAAUACAAAAAUAGUAAUUCAAAGGGAUACACGUAUCCCAAUGUUUAUAGCCACAUUAUCUACAAUAGCCAAAUUGUGGAAAUAGCCCAACUAUCCAUCCACUGAUGAAUGGAUUAAAAAAAGGUGGAAUAUAGAUACAUGGAAUAUUAGCUAUAAAAAAGAAUGAAAUCCUGCCAUUUGCAAUGACAUGGAUGGAACUAGAAUGUAUUAUGCUAAGUGAAAUAAGACAGAGAAAGACAAAUACUAUAUGAUUUCAUUCAUAUAUGGAAUUUAAGGAACACAACGAGUAAUAGUGAAAAAAGAAAAAGGGAGGCAAACCAAGAAACAGAUUCUUUAACUACAUUGAACAAACUACUGGUUACCAGAAUGGGAGGUGGGUGAGGGGAUGGGUUAAAUAGUAGAUGGGGAUUAAGUAGUGCACUUGUUUUGUUGUUGUUGUUGUUGUUGUUAGAGACUAUUUAUUCUGUUCUGCUCGAAUCUUUAUUAACUCUCUUCUUCUCUUAGGUGUAGGAUCUAUUUGCUGUUUUUUCUCUAGCUCCUUUAUGUGUAAGGUUAGCUUUUGUAUUUGAGUUCUUUCCAGUGUUUGAAUGGAUGCUUGUAUUGCGAUGUAUUUCCCCCUUAGGACUGCUUUUGCUGCAUCCCAAAGAUUUUGGAUGGUUGUAUCUUCAUUCUCAUUAGUUUCCAUGAAUCUUUUUAAUUCUUCCUUAAUUUCCUGGUUGACCCUUUCAUCUUUUAGCAAGAUGGUCCUUAACCUCCACGUGUUUGAGGUCCUUCCAAACUUCUUGUUGUGAUUUAGUUCUAAUUUCAAGGCAUUAUGGUCUGAGAAUAUGCAGGGGACGAUCCCAAUCUUUUGGUAUUGGUUCAGACCCGAUUUGUGACCCAACAUGUGGUCUAUUCUGGAGAAAGUUCCAUGUGCACUUGAGAAGAAUGUGUAUUCAGUUGAGUUUGGAUGUAAAGUUCUGUAGAUAUCUGUGAAAUCCAUCUGGUCCAGUGUAUCAUUUAAAGCUCUCGUUUCUUUGGAGAUGUUGUGCUUAGAAGACCUAUCGAGUAUAGAAAGAGCUAGAUUGAAGUCACCAAGUAUAAGUGUAUUAUUAUCUAAGUAUUUCUGGAAAGAGAG